UACGUAGGCAGCGAGCGUUGUUCGGAGUUACUGGGCGUAAAGGGUGUGUAGGCGGUUGUUUAAGUUUGGUGUGAAAUCUCCCGGCUCAACUGGGAGGGUGCGCCGAAUACUGGAAUGACUCGAGGUGUGGGGAGAGGUGAGUGGGAAUUCCUGGUGUAGCGGUGAAAUGCGUAGAUAUCAGGAGGAACACCGGUGGUGUAGACGGCUCUCUAGUACGGUACUGACGCUGAGACGCGAAAGCGUGGGGAGCGAACAGG
rnacentral:rRNA from 1 species